AUACGUAGGGAGCGAGCGUUGUCCGGAAUUACUGGGCGUAAAGGGCGCGUAGGCGGCGCUUCAAGUCGUCUGUCAAAUGGGAGGGCUUAACCCUUUUUCGCAGACGAAACUGGAGAGCUUGAGAAGCAGAGAGGCAAGCAGAAUUCCUGGUGUAGCGGUGAAAUGCGUAGAUAUCAGGAAGAAUACCAGUGGCGAAGGCGGUUUGCUGGCUGCAUACUGACGCUGAAGCGCGAAAGCCAGGGGAGCAAACGGGAUUAGAUACCCCGGUAGUCCUGGCAGUAAACGAUGUAUGCUGGGUGUGAGACUAGCGAUAGUUUCGUGCCGAAGUUAACGCGAUAAGCAUACCGCCUGGGGAGUACGGCCGCAAGGUUGAAACUCAAAUGAAUUGGCGGGG
rnacentral:rRNA from 1 species